UUCCGAAGCAACGAACAAAGAAGAGAAAAAUUGACGAAGACAGUAGCAGUGAUGAAGAAUGGUUACCUGGAAAAGAUGAAAAUUUUUUGCUAAAGAAAGUCAAGCCAAUCUUUAAAUCAACAUUUAGAAGCAGUUCCGUCACCAAGAAAUCUUCAAAUAAACAGGCUUCUUCGAAAAAAUUUUGUGCUCCUUCGGCCUCGUCAAAUAAUGAUUUUAAUUCAUCUGUUGAUGACAAUUCAAU